rnacentral:rRNA from 1 species
UACAGAGGUCUCAAGCGUUGUUCGGAUUCAUUGGGCGUAAAGGGUGCGUAGGCGGCGCGGUAAGUCGGGUGUGAAAUCUUGGAGCUUAACUCCGAAACUGCAUUCGAUACUGCGGUGCUUGAGGACUGGAGAGGAGACUGGAAUUCAUGGUGUAGCAGUGAAAUGCGUAGAGAUCAUGAGGAAGACCAGUGGCGAAGGCGGGUCUCUGGACAGUUCCUGACACUGAGACACGAAGGCCAGGGGAACAAACGGG